GCUGGGCUCGGUGGCACACACCUGUAAUCCCAGUGGCUUGGGAGGCUGAGGCAGGAGGAUCAUGAGUUUAAAGCUAGCCUUAGCAACUUAGCGAGGCCCUAACCAACUCAGUGAGAUCCUGUCUCUA
rnacentral:sRNA from 1 species